AUACGGAGGAUGCAAGCGUUAUCCGGGUUUAUUGGGUUUAAAGGGUGCGUAGGCGGUUUGCUAAGCGGGAGGUGAAAUGCCGGCGCUCAACGUCGGAAGUGCCUCCCGAACUGGUGGACUUGAAUGACUCUGCCGUGGGAGGAAUGUGUAGUGUAGCGGUGAAAUGCUUAGAGAUUACACAGAACACCGAUUGCGAAGGCAUCUCACGAAGGGUUGAUUGACGCUGAGGCACGAAAGCGUGGGGAUCAAACGGGAUUAGAUACCCUGGUAGUCCACGCAGUAAACGAUGAUGGCUAACCGCUGGGCUUAUCAGUUCAGUGGCCAAGCGAAAGCGAUAAGCCAUCCACCUGGGGAGUACGACCGCAAGGUUGAAACUCAAAUGAAUUGACGGGG
rnacentral:rRNA from 1 species